rnacentral:tRNA from 1 species
GUCGUGGUGGGUCGCCGCGGCCAGGGCGGGGUGGCUAGUGCCCUGCUGGGGUCGGUCAGUUCUGGGCUGGCCCACCACGC